GACAGACCUAGAGAGGGGAUUUGGUCACGCAGGAGUGGGAAACUGGGGCACACUGGGAUCUGUGGUCCUUAGAGCGGAGUCCUGGGUUUUAGUGAAUGAGCCAGUGCUGACCCAGUGCUACUUCUGUUAUGUCCCAUUGGUCCAGCUGCAACUGGUGGCAUGCAGAUAUUGGGUUUCAGCUGUUGUGCAGGCACCUGUCAGUCAGUUACCACCUGCCUCUGCACUGGAUUUUCUUCUGGACUGACUGUAUGGCAGGUCUUUGGACUGUGCAUGUUUGGAGGCUGGUUGCGUAUACAUGACAGAUGCACCAGAAUUCACGUGGAUGAUUUUUUAGGCAUUCUUCAACUUCAUCGGACUACAAGAAACAUUGGAGCACCAGCAAGUGCAUUUUGAAGACAUACCUUGGAGUGAUGUUCUGCUGCUGCUCCUGCUGACUCAUCCAUCCUCCUACAGGUUCCGCGGAGCCCACGAAAGACUACAUCUGAUGUGACUGGGUUUGAGACAGCUGGGAGCAAACAAACUUCUGCAUUGCAUUUUCUCAGAGCCCAAGUUCCUCUUUUGGUUUCUAUCAAUACCUGUUAACUGUAUUUUCUACCA